rnacentral:rRNA from 1 species
CCUACGGGAGGCAGCAGUGAGGAAUAUUGGUCAAUGGGUGAGAGCCUGAUCCAGCCAUCCCGCGUGCAGGAAGACGGCCCUAUGGGUUGUAAACUGCUUUUAUAUGGGAGCAAUAAGGUCUACGCGUAGACCGAUGAGAGUACCAUAUGAAUAAGCAUCGGCUAACUCCGUGCCAGCAGCCGCGGUAAU